GAUGAACGCUAGCGAUAGGCUUAACACAUGCAAGUCGAGGGGCCGCACAAGGUAGCUUGCUCUCUGGGUGGCGACCGGCGCACGGGUGCGUAACGCGUAUGCAACUUGCCCUAUACAGGAGGAUAACCCGUCGAAAGACGGACUAAUACUGCGUAUGCUCACAACUUGGCAUCAAGUGGUGAGGAAAGAAAUUCGGUAUAGGAUAGGCAUGCGUCCCAUUAGCUUGUUGGUGAGGUAACGGCUCACCAAGGCAACGAUGGGUAGGGGAACUGAGAGGUUUAUCCCCCACACUGGUACUGAGACACGGACCAGACUCCUACGGGAGGCAGCAGUGAGGAAUAUUGGUCAAUGGGCGCGAGCCUGAACCAGCCAAGUCGCGUGAAGGAGGACUGUCUUAUGGAUUGUAAACUUCUUUUAUACGGGAAUAACAAGAGUCACGUGUGACUCCCUGCAUGUACCGUAUGAAUAAGCAUCGGCUAACUCCGUG
rnacentral:rRNA from 1 species